rnacentral:tRNA from 1 species
UGGCUUAGUGGUAGAGCGCUUGCCUAGCAUGCAUGAAGCCCUGGGUUUGAUUCCUUG